GAUCGUGUCCGCUUAUUUUCACUGCGACAGUAAAACUGCCCGCCCGCUUUUCAUUCUGGCCGUCAGAUGUGGUGAUCCUUUUGUCACCUGCCUCUCCUCUCUCUAAGUGCAUGACGCCUGGGCUCGUGUGUGCGUGGGGCAGCUUUUCUAAGACCGUGGGUGUUCGCUGAGAAAAUGGAAUCGGGUGAAAACCUAACCUACCGCGAGUCCUCUCCUCCAAUCCCGUGCCUCCUCUCGUUCCCCAAUCCUGGCCUCGUCUCGUCCUCCCCAAUCAGCCACCGCCUCCUCUCGUUUGCUCGAUCCCGUCGGACGGCCGGACGAGGUGGCGACGAUGGAGGCUCGUCAGGGAUGAGCAGCAGGAGGGGUCAAGGUGCGCGGAUGGCGUGGAGGCGUCCACGACGGGGAUGGCCACGGUCGUGCGCGCUCCGCCGUUGGAGCGCGCACGGAGUAGGGCGGCGGCACGCCGGCUUGAGAUGGUCGUUCACAGCCGGCUGGAGCUCGAAAUCUGCUUCUCCAGUUUGUUGUCUGCUCCUGCCUGAACAGCUUCUGGACGAGGCAGAGAAGAGCUGCAGAUCUCGUCAAAAAAGCUGAUGCCCACGCAGCCUUAGUAUCUCAGUUUGAUUUAGUGAUUUUUUCUGAAGAUCUGACGUGAAUUAAGCAUGGAUGGAUAGAGGUUCGUUGAUGGGUGCAGGUCCGACCACCAGUUGUUAUUAAAGCCUUUCUCAGAGUGAUUUUUUUAGAAUGAUAUUUCUUUUCUUGAUGCCUAUAAUAUACCUUGUUGUUUCUGGCUGUGUAAAUCUGCAGGGGCAAUGAGAUGAGGUUGGUCAGUGAACUGAAAUUGCAUAUAUUCUACUGAUGUUUAGUAAAAUCUGCAGCUUUAGGUUAGAUUUUUCAAAUUUGAAAAGCCACAAAUCCGAGUCCAUGGUUAUUUUGUAAAUUCCAUUGUUUCAAUUGUAUAUGAUCUUACACCUUAUUUCGGAGAUACACUAUGGAAUCAUAUCAUGUGCUUGCAGAGAGCAAUACUGUUGUGUUUCUUCUCAAAAGAUUGUUGGACUCCAUUCAGGUCUACAUGCAUAAUUUCAACAAUAGUGGUGCUAGGAGAGAGCCAGUUUUUUUCCAUUUACUCAUCCAGUGGAGGUCUCGCAACAGGAGCAGUAUUAAGCUAGGGUUUGGUCGUCAAAGCAGAUUUACCGGCUAGGGAGAGGAGCAGCGGACUGAGGAAGAGGUGUAGAGGCAGCUACAGGAAAGAUGUCUCCAGACUCUACAAUUAAUUCUGGUAGAAAAGAAAAACUCAAUUGUUUACACAUGUCCAGCUUUGCGUGGCGACGCAUUUGACCUCUAAAAAAUUUCUUCGCUUAUUGAUUGAAAAUGAGGAUGGUACAUGUGGUUAAUUACAAUCUCCUCCAUUUGAAUGAUAGCAUUUACUAAUUGUUUUAUCAUGAAACUGGUUCCGUCGGAGCCAAGGUCCAGUUCAUUUUUGGUUUGCGGGAUAUAGAUGUUUGUCACACAUGGCCAGCUUUGCGUGUGUAUAAAAUAACCUCUUACAAUGGCCAAGGGAAACUGAAUAUUACUAUAAUUUCUGAUCUUCUUAUGCUGCAGUAUCUUGAAAAGCCAAUCAAGGUAUAGUAACAUGUUUCACAUGAUAUGUCUCUGGUUAUGUUAAACAGGAAAAAAUGAAAGAGAAAAGAGAAUAGGCAAUUAUGACAGAAGCACGGACAUCUUGAAUCAAUGCAUAAGGCAGGUUGUAUCACUUUUCUUGAUCUGGUUGAUGGUUAGUAUUCUCUUGUUAGAAGUCGCAUCUUUGAUGUCGGGGCCUGGGACAUUUUUUUUAAUAUGCUAAUGGUCAGCCUAGAAGUCCGUGACAUGUUUUCAUAGACUGCAGUAGACCAGUUAUUAAGUGGCAUACUUUCUUCCUUGGUUUCUAUUUUAGUUCUCAGAUGUCCUCAAUAUUGCUUUGCUUCGCCAUAUCGGCUCACACUCUUGAUGCUCGAAAGCUAUUAUUUCAAAACUAUGCUCUAUCUUCAAAAGUUCAGAUGUUUGUUUAUGCUUUCUGUUUCUUCUGUUUUGGCAGGAAGCUAUUUUAAUCGUUUCUUUUGCAACAACAAGUUAAAAACUUUAUUCUUUAUAAAAUUGACCAGGAUUUGUAAACCAAUACUACCUCCAU